rnacentral:rRNA from 1 species
AUGAUGCUCCAGUAUUUAGUGCUAAUUGCAAUUAGCGAUCGGCUCUCCAUAUGCACGACCGCGCAGUCCGCCGGUCGCACUGUUCCGUCAUUUCAUCAACAAAAAAAGAAACUAACCGUCCAGUCGCACUCCUCGCACGGUUACAGUCGCACUCCUCGCUCCCCGCCGCCCUUGCAUGGGACGGCGCGGGGCACGCCGUCCGCGCCCCCCUCCUCACUCCUCGCCUCCAUCCACGCAUGCGGCGGCGCCCUGCACGCCAUCCGCGCCACCCUCGCCGACGGACACCAGUCGCCCUUCUCGCUCCACGUGGUGGUGCCCUGCAUGCCAUCCACGCCGCCCUCGCCGACGAGCUCCAGUCGCCCACCUCGCUACAUGCGGUGGAGCCCUGCACGCCAUCCGCGCCGCCCUCGCUGA